UUUCUCUACCCGAAAUGAUCUAAUUUCCAAACAGUUUGUAAGCCCAUAAGCGACAUAGGGCCCGUGGUCUGCCCCCCGUUGUUAGCGCAAGGUGUUGGGAGCAGCGGGUGUUACGGCGGAAUUUUGUCCUCUUGUGAUGUGCUCCAGUCUUCUCUUAAGGUUCUUUCAGAGCUACUGUAACCUGCCUAGGAAUCCAGUACAAUAGUCCACCAAUCUCAUCUUUACCUGAGAUAUUCUACAGGAGGAACAAUAACUCACAAAGGAUCUGUGAAUAAGGAUGCAGGACAGUUACUUCGCUGGAGUAACUGAUGGAGUAACAUCAGCCAGCAAUAGGGAGAUGCAGAACAUGCAAGAAUUCAGGUUAUCAUGCAGCCCUUCAGUAACAGAAUCAGAAGAAACAUGAGGAGGGAACAGAUGAUGUGCUGACUGACAGGAAAGAGAAAAGCUGAUUAAGAAGGAACCUAAAAUACAGGCCGAUCAAGAAGAGCCCUUCAGGCUAAUUUUCAGCAAGCUUAACUCCCUGAUCUACCUCACCACACAACUACGUUAAGUACCACAGCCAUUGCAAAGGAUGAGCCAGCACUGCUGUGCAGCAGGGGAGAGUGAGACGGCGGCAGCUUCAACUUACAUUGGUUUAAGAUGCUGCAGAUCUAUCCACCAAACUAAACAUCUUUGAUGCAAAAUAUCAUUUUCACUUCAGCACAAGAUGUGUGAAAACUGGAAGUCAUCCAAAGUACAGAUCAACAUCUGACAGCUUUUGAGAGCUCAAGAAAAUCUUUGAUAUUUCUACACUUUGUAUGCAUUCAGCAUUUUUUCUCUCUUUGAAGUUACCAGAAAAGAAAGUAAAAACUUCUUCAACAAAGUAAAAACUUCCUCAACGUGUUAAUAUAAGUUAGGAGUA